rnacentral:rRNA from 1 species
GAUAAACGCUGGCGGCGUGCCUAACACAUGCAAGUCGAACGCCCUACGCUUGCGUAGGGAGUGGCGGACGGGUGAGGAACACGUGGGUCGAUCUACCCAGAGGUGAGGAAUACCGGCGAGAAAUCGCCGACAAUACCGCAUACGUUCUGUAAAGAACAAAGUCGCAAGACGCCUUUGGAUGAGCCUGCGCCCGAUUAGUUAGUUGGUGGGGUAAAGCCUACCAAGACUACAAUCGGUAGCUGGCUGAGAGGACGAUCAGCCACACUGGGAUUGAGAACGGCCCAGACUCCUACGGGAGGCAGCAGUGGGGAAUCUUGCGCAAUGGGCGAAAGCCUGACGCAGCGACGCCGCGUGAGGGAUGACGGCCU